rnacentral:rRNA from 1 species
UACGGAGGGUGCGAGCGUUAUCCGGAUUUACUGGGUUUAAAGGGUGCGUAGGUGGGCAGGUAAGUCAGUGGUGAAAUCUUCGAGCUUAACUCGGAAACUGCCAUUGAUACUAUCUGUCUUGAAUGCCCUGGAGGUAAGCGGAAUAUGUCAUGUAGCGGUGAAAUGCUUAGAUAUGACAUAGAACACCAAUUGCGAAGGCAGCUUACUACGGGGUGAUUGACACUGAGGCACGAAAGCGUGGGGAUCAAACAGGAUUAGAAACCCUAGUAGUCC